rnacentral:rRNA from 1 species
UCAGGCCUAACACAUGCAAGUCGAGCGGAAACGAGUUAUCUGAACCUUCGGGGAACGAUAACGGCGUCGAGCGGCGGACGGGUGAGUAACGCCUAGGAAAUUGCCCUGAUGUGGGGGAUAACCAUUGGAAACGAUGGCUAAUACCGCAUGAUGCCUACGGGCCAAAGAGGGGGACCUUCGGGCCUCUCGCGUCAGGAUAUACCUAGGUGGGAUUAGCUAGUUGGUGAGGUAAGGGCUCACCAAGGCGACGAUCCCUAGCUGGUCUGAGAGGAUGAUCAGCCACACUGGAACUGAGACACGGUCCAGACUCCUACGGGAGGCAGCAGUGGGGAAUAUUGCACAAUGGGCGCAAGCCUGAUGCAGCCAUGCCGCGUGUGUGAAGAAGGCCUUCGGGUUGUAAAGCACUUUCAGUCGUGAGGAAGGUAGUGUAGUUAAUAGCUGCAUUAUUUGACGUUAGCGACAGAAGAAGCACCGGCUAGCUCCGUGCCAGCAGCCGCGGUAAUACGGAGGGUGCGAGCGUUAAUCGGAAUUACUGGGCGUAAAGCGCAUGCAGGUGGUUUGUUAAGUCAGAUGUGAAAGCCCGGGGCUCAACCUCGGAAUAGCAUUUGAAACUGGCAGACUAGAGUACUGUAGAGGGGGGUAGAAUUUCA